rnacentral:rRNA from 1 species
UGGGGAAUUUUGGGACAAUGGGGCGAAAGCCUGAUCCAGCAAUGCCGCGUGUGUGAAGAAGGCCUUCGGGUUGUAAAGCACUUUUGUCCGGAAAGAAAUCCUUGGCUCUAAUACAGUCGGGGGAUGACGGUACCGGAAGAAUAAGCACCGGCUAACUACGUGCCAGCAGCCGCGGUAAUACGUAGGGUGCAAGCNUUAAUCGGAAUUACUGGGCGUAAAGCGUGCGCAGGCGGUUUGCUAAGACCGAUGUGAAAUCCCCGGGCUCAACCUGGGAACUGCAUUGGUGACUGGCAGGCUAGAGUAUGGCAGAGGGGGGUAGAAUUCCACGUGUAGCAGUGAAAUGCGUAGAGAUGUGGAGGAAUACCGAUGGCGAAGGCAGCCCCCUGGGCCAAAUACUGACGCUCAUGCACGAAAGCGUGGGGG